rnacentral:tRNA from 1 species
AAUAAAGUAAGCUAAAAAAGCUAGGGGGUUCAUACCCCAAAAAUGAUUUAAUUCCUUUAUUA